CUUUAUCAGAGUGAUGACUUUGUGUUCCAGCUCCUGUUGCAACUGAAAUUCUGCUUAUUCAUACAAAUGAUUACCCAUAAUUCUACUGGACUUCAAGAAAUGACAAGCACCACAGACCCUCCAGCUCAGGGACUGCAGGCUGAACUGACCUCUUAAAGCAGUUGUCCUCACUGCCGGACCGAGAGCUGCAGCAUGGCACAGUUAAGUGUUUUACUGCUUCAACACCUGAUAAAGCUCAUGAAGGGCUUCAUAAUGAGACCAGUGAGUUUGAUCAGGUGGAACACUGCUGUAAAACACCUCACUA